UGUUUGGAUUGCCUCUUCCGGCUGGCUCCGUGCUUGUGCACCGAACGGUCGGCAUGCGAUCUGUGUCCCUUGUUGUGAGGUGGGUUGGUGCCUCGGAGGCCGGUUCUUGUGCUGCCUACCCUUUUGGGGGAAGGAUGACACUUUGAUGGUUUGCCUCCAUCUUGCGCCUCGCAAUGGGCGCAGGGGGAGAAUGAAGCACCCCCGUGUUCCACUGAGCCUUGAUUGGUCACGUGGCCCUCGGGGUUGUGCAAGGCUCUUGGACGCAGUGCAUGCGGAGGGCGAGGACUCAUCCUCGUCUUAAGAGUAGCUUCGAUAUAAUGCAAGACGGUUGCCCUCGUCGGCUUGGCUGCUUAGGCGGUGCUCCGGCGGCGGGCAACGUCACUGAGGAUUGCUACCUGGUUGAUCCUGCCAGU
rnacentral:misc_RNA from 1 species